rnacentral:lncRNA from 1 species
UUUUUUUUUUCUUUGAUCAGACACCAGGUAAUGGAGGGAGAAUGACCAAACGAAUAAAGCAUGCCAAGCAGGAACACAAAUAUUACUCACCUAUUGCUCUGCAGGUGAGUAUUUCCGGCUCCAGGAGAGCAACAUUUUGCUGCCAAACAAGUCUAUGAAGCACCUGAAAUGCAUUUAGCUCUUGACAGGGUUCCCUAGAAGUUUGAUCUUCUCCACUGCAUGAGGAAUAAAUAAAUAAAUAGGAAAAUGAAACAAAACCAAUUUGCAUAAGCCACGGGGAAACAAAGUUGUGCCAAAGGCUUUGGCAGAAGGUGUUUUAUGUGGGGCUGAAACAACAGAAAUGAGUGUAUGACAUGGCCGUGAUUUCCUCUGUCAAUGCAAAUAUACAGGAAAACAUUUUUGGAUGUGUGUGCUAUUGCUGUCUAUUGUAAACCUGGAAAUAUUUUGGUUACUUGCCACAGCUGCUUCUCUCACUUCCCAAAGGUUACAGGUGAAGUUGAUGUGCACAAUGGCUGUCAUGCGUAUCUGUGGUAUCACAGUGUCUGCCAAUCUCACACUGUUCCUCCACAAGACACAGCGGUGCAAGAUGAAGCCCUGAAAAAAGUAGUCCCUUAAAAAAUAAAUGAGAAAAGAAAUCUGUUUUGAAAAUCACACCGAGUUAGCAACCAUUUCUCCUGCAGAGCACAAUCCUGGUACAGGAGAACAGUCACUGCUGGAUGCUUGCAGUGUCCAGGGUUUCUAAUGCAGCAAUGAGUGGGCUUUUAUCAAGCAAUUGUGUUUCUACCCAUUUUGAGUCUUGUACGUUUGAUGUCUUCUCUGUUUUUCUGGCAGGCACUAAGAAUCUUUUAGGUAUUGAAAAAUAGGAAAUGAGAUGAAAAUGCUCGAGCCAGAUGUCGGAGAUUAGGUAUGUAAACAUGUAAAGCUAUAUUUUGGCAACUAAAUGUCGAACUGCUGGCUUGUUGAACUCAGGCAGAGCCAGCUGCAUGGGCUCAGCAUCUCUGGAACUUAUUAGAAGGCGAGGUAAUUUUGUCAUUUCUUUGCUAUCUCCGUUUAGUAGAGCACCACAGCUGUAGUAUUCUGUACAGGAACACUGACCACAAGAGGGCAUGUUUGCUCCACAGUUUGUGUCAUUCAAUCCAGUGUUGAAAAGGGGCUGGAAGAGCUCCUCCGUACCAGUUUGUGGGAAGCGCUUGAAUCGCUUUCCUUGAAGCACAGCGAAAACCAUCAAUGGCAGUUAAAGGCUGCUGUACAAAGAACGGUUUUGUGACUGCAGUUCUGCUAGCAGCGUUAUUAAGAACUGUUUUUGUAACCUGAACUUUCAGGCCAAAAAUGGCAUUGUGGUGUGUAGCAGAAUAAAGUUUCUGCAGAUGUUUUCUA